UACGUAGGGGGCAAGCGUUGUCCGGAUUUAUUGGGCGUAAAGAGCGUGUAGGCGGUUAUGCAGGUCCGCUGUGAAAACUGGAGGCUUAACCUCCAGACGUCGGUGGAAACCGUAUGACUAGAGUCCGGAAGAGGAGAGUGGAAUUCCUGGUGUAGCGGUGAAAUGCGCAGAUAUCAGGAAGAACACCCGUGGCGAAGGCGACUUACUGGACACAUAUUGACGCUGAGGUGCGAAAGCGUGGGGAGCAAACAGG
rnacentral:rRNA from 1 species